rnacentral:rRNA from 1 species
UGGGGAAUUUUGGACAAUGGGCGAAAGCCUGAUCCAGCCAUUCCGCGUGAGUGAAGAAGGCCUUCGGGUUGUAAAGCUCUUUCGCAAGGAAAGAAAACUUAUCUCCUAAUACGAGGUGAGGUUGACGGUACCUUGAUAAGAAGCACCGGCUAACUACGUGCCAGCAGCCGCGGUAAUACGUAGGGUGCGAGCGUUAAUCGGAAUUACUGGGCGUAAAGCGUGCGCAGGCGGUUUUGUAAGUCAGAUGUGAAAUCCCCGGGCUCAACCUGGGAACUGCGUUUGAAACUACAAGGCUAGAGUGUAGAAGAGGGGGGUAGAAUUCCACGUGUAGCAGUGAAAUGCGUAGAGAUGUGGAGGAAUACCGAUGGCGAAGGCAGCCCCCUGGGCUAACACUGACGCUCAUGCACGAAAGCGUGGGGAGCAAACAGG